AAUAUACAACGAGAUAGAGACGUAAAAGAAUUGAUGUAUUG
rnacentral:guide_RNA from 1 species